AAUAUCGUUGGUAAAACUUAUGCCAGCAAUUGCGGUUAGAUUUGUGGCGGGUGUUGUUAUAAAUAGGUUUUAGUAAAGAGUGUUAGUUUUUUGGUGAAAUAGUAAAUAUUAGUUAGGUGGUGUUUAAGCUAAAGUUAUUUUUGUAAAGACUAGGAUUAGAUACCCUAUUAUUUAUUAUAUUCCUAGUGGUGAGUUUAAAUAAUUUGGCGGCGAAUUAAAUUUAGAGGAAUUUGCUUGUGAGCGAUAAGCCGCGGUUUUUUUUAUUUUUAUUAUUUUUGUAUAUCGUUAUAUAAUUUUUUUUUAUUUAAAAAAAAUAAUUAUUGGAAUUUUGUUAAAAAGCUUAGAUCUAGGUGCAGAUAUAUAGAAGAAUCAGUUAAUUACAAUUAAGAUUUUAUAAAAUAACGGGGAUUAAGGGAAAUUUUAUUAUAAGGUGAAUUUGAUUGUAAUUUUAUUAAGUUGAGAUAAUUAAGUUCGUGUACAAAUUGCCCGUCACUCUCUAAGAGAUAAGUCGAAACAAAGUAAAAUUAUCUGAAGAUAAUUUUA
rnacentral:rRNA from 1 species